rnacentral:rRNA from 1 species
CCUACGGGUGGCAGCAGUGAGGAAUAUUGGUCAAUGGACGGAAGUCUGAACCAGCCAUGCCGCGUGCAGGAAGACGGCUCUAUGAGUUGUAAACUGCUUUUGUACAAGGGUAAACCUGAAUACGUGUAUUCAGCUGAAAGUACUGUACGAAUAAGGAUCGGCUAACUCCGUGCCAGCAGCCGCGGUAAUACGGAGGAUCCAAGCGUUAUCCGGAUUUAUUGGGUUUAAAGGGUGCGUAGGUGGAUUGAUAAGUUAGAGGUGAAAUGUCCGAGCUUAACUCGGGAACUGCCUCUAAUACUGUUGGUCUAGAGAGUAGAUGCGGUAGGCGGAAUGUAUGGUGUAGCGGUGAAAUGCUUAGAGAUCAUACAGAACACCGAUUGCGAAGGCAGCUUACCAAUCUAUAUCUGACGUUGAGGCACGAAAGCGUGGGGAGCAAACAGGAUUAGAUACCCCGGUAGUC